CACGUAGGGGGCAAGCGUUGUCCGGAUUUAUUGGGCGUAAAGAGCUCGUAGGUGGUUCGGUAAGUCAGGUGUGAAACCUCCAGGCUCAACCUGGAGACGCCACUUGAUACUGCUGUGACUGGAGUCCGGUAGGGGAGCGUGGAAUUCCUGGUGAGCGGUGAAAUGCGCAGAUAUCAGGAGGAACACCAGCGGCGAAGGCGGCGCUCUGGGCCGGUACUGACACUGAGGAGCGAAAGCCAGGGGAGCAAACGGG
rnacentral:rRNA from 1 species